AUUGAACGCUGGCGGCACGCCUAACACAUGCAAGUCGAGCGGCAGCGAGACUAGUAGCAGUACUAGUUGUCGGCGAGCGGCGGACGGGUGAGUAACACGUAGGAAUCUGCCCUUAAGCGGGGGAUAACCAAGGGAAACUUUGGCUAAUACCGCAUAAUCUCGAGUGAGCAAAGCUGCCCGCAAGGGCGGCACUUGAGGAGGAGCCUGCGUCCGAUUACCUAGUUGGGGGGGUAAUGGCCUACAAAGGCGAUGAUCGGUAACUGGGCUGAGAGGACGACCAGUCCCACUGGGACUGAGACACGGCCCAGGCUCCGACGGGAGGCAGCAGUGGGGAAUAUUGGACAAUGGGGGCAACCCUGAUCCAGCGAUGCCGCGUGAGUGAAGAAGGCCUUCGGGUCGUAAAGCUCUUUAGGUUGGGAAGAAGGGUAUUGGCUGAAUAAUCCAGUACUUUGACGGUACCGACAGAAUAAGCACCGGCAAACUCUGUGCCAGCCGCCGCAGUAAAAC
rnacentral:rRNA from 1 species